rnacentral:rRNA from 1 species
UAAAAAAUUUUGGCGGUAUUUUAAGCUUAUUAGAGGAAUUUGCUCUGUGAUGGACACAACGCCUUAAUCUUACUUAAUUUAGUAAUUUAAAUCAGUUUGUAUACCACUAUAUUAAUUAUAUUGAAUAGUUAUAUUUAAAAUUUUUUUAAAAAAAAUAUAUUAAGUCAAGGUGCAUCUAAUAAUUAUGAAUGAAGUGAAUUACAUUAAUUUUAAUGUAAUUUUUUACAUGAAAAAAUUAAUUAGGAUUUAAUAGUAAAAUACUAAUAUUAUGAGUAUUUGAAUCAAGCUCUAAAAUAUGCACAUAUCGCCCGUCGCUCUCAGAAGUGAGAUAAGUCGUAACAAAGUAAAAAUACUGGAAAGUGUUUUUUAAAAUGAAAUCAUUCGAUGUUUCAUUUACAAUGAAAAUUUUGUUAUUUAACCAUUUUAA